UACGGAGGGUGCAAGCGUUGUUCGGAUUUACUGGGCGUAAAGCGUGCGUAGGCGGUUCGUUAAGUUCGUUGUGAAAGCCCUGGGCUCAACCUGGGAAUGGCAAUGGAAACUGGCGGGCUGGAGUAUGGCAGAGGGGGGUGGAAUUCCGCGUGUAGCAGUGAAAUGCGUAGAGAUGCGGAGGAACACCGAUGGCGAAGGCAGCCCCCUGGGCCAAUACUGACGCUCAGGCACGAAAGCGUGGGGAGCAAACAGG
rnacentral:rRNA from 1 species